CCUCUCUCAGUGCUUACCGCAGGCAGCGAGUUGUGACUGCUGACUGCACAGGAAUGAGAGAUACAGAAUCCCACCGUCCUGCAUACACCACAGCAGGGUUGCUGGUUACCCAGGCUGUAUUGUUAGCAGGGCACAG